GCUGGCGGCACGCCUAAUACAUGCAAGUCGAACGGAGUAGCAAUACUUAGUGGCAGACGGGUGAGUAACAUGUGGGUAUCUUCCCUUUGGUGAGGAAUAACACGAGGAAACUUGUGCUAAUACCUCAUAAGUCUUUACGGAGAAAGCUUUAUGCGCCAUUGGAUGAGCCCGCACUUGAUUAGUUAGUUGGUGGGGUAAAGGCCUACCAAGACAAUGAUCAAUAGCUGAUUUGAGAGGAUGAUCAGCCACAUUGGGACUGAGACACGGCCCAAACUUCUACGGAAGGCAGCAGUAGGGAAUCUUGCACAAUGGAGGAAACUCUGAUGCAGCGAUGCCGCGUGAGUGAAGAAGGCCUUUGGGUUGUAAAGCUCUUUCGUCGGGGAAGAAAAUGACUGUACCCGAAUAAGAAGGUCCGGCUAACUUCGUGCCAGCAGCCGCGGUAAUACGAAGGGACCUAGCGUAGUUCGGAAUUACUGGGCUUAAAGAGUUCGUAGGUGGUUAAAAAAGUUGGUGGUGAAAUCCCAGAGCUUAACUCUGGAACUGCCAUCAAAACUUUUUAGCUAGAGUAUGAUAGAGGAAAGCAGAAUUUCUAGUGUAGAGGUGAAAUUCGUAGAUAUUAGAAAGAAUACCAAUUGCGAAGGCAGCUUUCUGGAUCAUUACUGACACUGAGGAACGAAAGCAUGGGUAGCGAAGAGGAUUAGAUACCCUCGUAGUCCAUGCCGUAAACGAUGUGUGUUAGACGUUGGAAAUUUAUUUUCAGUGUCGCAGCGAAAGCAAUAAACACACCGCCUGGGG
rnacentral:rRNA from 1 species